rnacentral:tRNA from 1 species
GGAGAGAUAGGAAAAUUGGUAACCCCAGCUGACUGUAAAUCAGCCGUCCGUAUCGGGCAUUACUGGUUCGAGUCCAGUCCUCUCCA